ensembl:lncRNA
UUUUAUUAAACGAAACAAGAUAUAUAUAUCGAACCGUAAAUACUGCAAAGGUGUGUUUUAGGUUGCUUGUGUGUGUUGAUGUAUUUAGCGAUUGUAGAAAUAGCCAUGUAAAGGAAGAAAAAGAAACAAAGACAGUUUGAAGAUUUGGUUUGGGCUUCCCGGUAUUGCGUUGGCCAUGUCGUUAGCUUGCUUCUGUAACCUCCUCUGGCUGAGUAAUAUCAAUAAAUGUAUCAAUCCGGAAAAUACAUAAAAAAAUAUGUAUUUUAUAACAUUGUAUUUUAAGUACUAAACUUAAUGAGAUUAACUGCAGUAAAAACAACAAGAGAAAGUGAUGCCUUUUGAUUUAGACUGCCAACUAUAAUGGAAAAUACAUGUGUGGACUCUGUGUGGUGGUGAUGGCUGGUUCAUACUGUGUGCAUGGAUCCCCCAACUCACCCCAGGUAAAAAGAAACAAAGACAGUUUGAAGAUUUGGUUUGGGCUUCCCGGUAUUGCGUUGGCCAUGUCGUUAGCUUGCUUCUGUAACCUCCUCUGGCUGAGUAAUAUCAAUAAAUGUAUCAAUCCGAAAAUACAUAAAAAAAUAUGUAUUUUAUAACAUUGUAUUUUAAGUACUAAACUUAAUGAGAUUAACUGCAGUAAAAACAACAAGAGAAAGUGAUGCCUUUUGAUUUAGACUGCCAACUAUAAUGGAAAAUACAUGUGUGGACUCUGUGUGGUGGUGAUGGCUGGUUCAUACUGUGUGCAUGGAUCCCCCAACUCACCCCAGGUGUGCGGCCUCACCCAGCCCCAGAGUCUAAUCAGUCUGCCUCGUGCCAGGGGAGGCCGCUUGAAGCAGCCAUCAUCCACAGACACACACUUCACAACAUUGUUGUCCGAAAAGUACACAAUCUGCCUGUAACCUCCAGAGUAGAGUCUCUCUAGCCGAGAUGCGAGACACCGUUUUUAUAGUCGUGAGAAAGACACUGCAUUUUGAAUGUUUUGUAGUGAGACAAACGUAGCAUUCUGUAAUGCACCCUUUUGAUUGUGUAACACUGUAUCUCCUAGCUUAAAGACCUACUGACGGAUUCUUGAAAUGUGUAACGUGUGAACACUAAUUUGAACGUAGACUAAUCUCGACGUAGUCACAUGAUUCUGCCUUGUCAAUCACAUGACCGAUCGGAAAUGUGCCCCCUCUCUUAUCGUGGCGUCGGCACGCUCGCACGCUGUCGACACUAAAGAACAAUUAUGAACUAUUAGCAGAUUAAUUUAUUUCUGUUGAUGUAAAUUAGGUGUAUAAAAUAUAUGUAUAUAAAAGUCACUGCACAAUAAAUGUGAACAUAUCAUGGUUUGGCUUGUGUCGUCUGAGUUUCUGCGUGAUCGUGUUGCACGUGCCUGCCUGGGUUUGGUGAAGAAGCCGGGUGACUCUUAUGAUGGAGGAGCAAAGGGCGUCUCGCAAUGAGAUAUCACUUGAGACAUGUCUCCUAUGGUGACGUGAUACGGCGAGAUAGGUCCGUUGUCAAUCUUGGGCGUUAUCUGUCGGUGCCAGUGGCUCCCAUUAAGAUGUACGGCAACCUGCAAUCUCACUGCUUUGCAUAUGUAUAAAGAACUUGAUGACACCGGGUUUUCAUCAUAUGUAUCGACAGAAGAGCCCCAAUCUCUCACUGCAUGAACAAAAUGCUAAACACAACCCCCUGCCCCAGCCCCCAUCCCAAGGCACCUGUUCCCUUUCAGAGGUGCAGUGCUGCCCCCACCUGGUGAGAUGAGGGAGGGGGGGGGUGUGGUUGGCCCCUGCUCCCCUGGGGGAAUAGGGCCUGGAGAUGAAAGGCUCCUA